GCAUUUUCUUCUUCACCAUAACCACCUCUUCUUCUUCUUCUCUCUCUGAAAACCCUAAUCCUGGAUCCUUCUCUACCCAUCGUUCUCUCUUUACCUUUAGCUUCCUCAACAGGAUCAGGAAUCAAAGUGGUGAAAUGGAAGAAUUUGGUUACGGGUAUGAGUCAUAUUUCUUCUUCUCAUGAAUGUUUCUUAACAACAGAAAAUGGUACCGCCUUGGAUAGUGUUUUAGUUGGUCUAGGUUUUAUGUAGGGUUUGUUAAGGAUCUUGUAGGUGUAUUAAAAUGUUGAUUUCAUCAGGGAUGUGGAGUUGGGAAAGGUUUGAUCAUUGUUCCUAUGAUAUGAUUGUCAAUGGAGUGGCAAUUUGAGUCAUGUAAAAAAAUAAAUAAAUAAAAUUCAUUAUUAUCUGAGUAUUAAUUAAAUUGAAUUUACUGGGGGAUCAUGGAGAACGUGUGUGAUGUCAAUCAGUUGGAUGCUGAUGUUCUCUUGCCACCUCGGAAACGUCUUCUUGCCGGAUUGAAAAAACAAAGUUCAGAUGGUGAUGCUACUGCAUCUCCAUCUCCCGUUGCUGCUUCUUGUGUUACAGAUGUUGCUUCCCCUUCUUGCUUGUCCUUUUCAAGUGAGUUCGAAGCCCGGCUUAAGCAUUUGUUGAGUUUUCAUUCAAAUAACCCUAACCUUACACCUGAGGAGGUAGUGGAGGCAUCAAAAACAGCAGCUGUUACUGCAACUAAGGCUGCGGAGGCUGCAAGAACCGCAGCUGUAGGAAAAGCUGCAAUAGCAGCAAAGGCCGUUGCUGCGGCCAAGAGUGCUUUAGAUUUCGUUGCAUCUUUCUCUGAGGAGGCAACCAGCAAGGAAAGAAAUCUGAAAAGGAGCAAGUUAAAGAAGCAUCUCCCAGUUCAGCUGUUGUACAAAAAAUACCAACCAAAUGAAAUUUGUAGGACAGAUGAAGAAUUAGCUCGUAAGUUACAUCGAGCCAUGAAUAGUUCUCCAAGAAUCUCUAAGAAUUCUCCAAAUUCAGUAUCAAAAGGUAGUAAACACAAGAAGCCUAAAAGCUCUUCAAGUUUUGAAAUAACUGAGGGCUCUGCAUCUGCAUCUGCUAUGGCAUUUGGACAAGAUUGCUUAUCUUUGAACAACAGCCAUGCGGUAGCUGGCAAAAUUGAUUCUGAAGGAUCCAUCCAAGAGGUUUGCUCAAGUAAGAAAGAUAAGAAGGGAUUCAAAUAUGAUAGAUCUUGCCAAAUAGAGAUAGAUAAUGCUGAAGCAGAGUCAAGCCAGUCAAAAGAUAAAAAAACUGAAGAUUUGUCUUCCAUGGGUAAGAAGAGAGGAAGGGCAAAGCUAAAAAAGUUGCCCUUAAGCAUUUGCACCUCAAAAGAUAGGGAACAGCCAAAGGAAGUAAUAAGAGCCAGAAGUUCUCUAUUGACUGAAAUGAAUACAGGAAGUCAUCCUGUUGGUAGUAUACCCAUGUUUCCUGUGGAGCCAUCCACUGACAGAGUGAUGCCAAUUGAGGCUACAUCAAUGUGGAAAUGCCAAGAGUUCAAGGCACCGGUUUGUAUCAAACAAAAUAAAGCUGUGCAGUCAUAAUGUUCUUAUAUUACUUUGGGAUGACUGUGUGCUAUUGUGACAAAUGUUGAUAGCUGAGCUCCGUGAAAUGGGGAUCCUGCCAUUGAAAAUUUAGAUGUUGCUCAAGAUAUUCUACUUAUUGAAUAAACUGCAUUGUGAUCGACCAAUGAAGAAGACUAUACAAAAGAAUUACUUUCCUUGCAUUAAAAGGUAACGUUGAAAAGAAGCUUCUGUAAAGCAUAAGAGGUACAACACUCAAGUGGGAAGAAACGUGCACAGGGAAUAAAGCGUUCCUAUUGGCUAAGAGAAAAGCAAGGCAUGAGGGACUGCAGAAGAAAAGACAAAUCUCAACAACAAGUGUCCCAUCCAAGCAACUUGCGUCCCUCUGAGCUCUGUUCACACCGCCCCUUUCAUGCAGUUAAGAAAACAACUCAAUGGAAAUUACAAGUUUUGUCAUCCACUCUUUUGCCUAUAAAUAGGACGUUCCAGCACGAAGAAGAUCAUCGAAUUCCUUAAGAAGAGAUUACUUGGUUUUUUUGGUAGUUUUACGUUUUCAGUUGUAUAAUUUUAGCAUUAGUUAAGUGACAACAACUUCUUCUCCAUUAUGUAUCACCCACUUGAGACUCCUCACGAGCAACAACCAUAUUUCUUCAUUUUUCCCUUUAUUGUAACCUAAUUUGUU